rnacentral:rRNA from 1 species
UGCAGUCGAGCGGACAGAAGGGAGCUUGCUCCCGGAUGUUAGCGGCGGACGGGUGAGUAACACGUGGGUAACCUGCCUGUAAGACUGGGAUAACUCCGGGAAACCGGAGCUAAUACCGGAUAGUUCCUUGAACCGCAUGGUUCAAGGAUGAAAGACGGUUUCGGCUGUCACUUACAGAUGGACCCGCGGCGCAUUAGCUAGUUGGUGGGGUAAUGGCUCACCAAGGCGACGAUGCGUAGCCGACCUGAGAGGGUGAUCGGCCACACUGGGACUGAGACACGGCCCAGACUCCUACGGGAGGCAGCAGUAGGGAAUCUUCCGCAAUGGACGAAAGUCUGACGGAGCAACGCCGCGUGAGUGAUGAAGGUUUUCGGAUCGUAAAGCUCUGUUGUUAGGGAAGAACAAGUGCGAGAGUAACUGCUCGCACCUUGACGGUACCUAACCAGAAAGCCACGGCUAACUACGUGCCAGCAGCCGCGGUAAUACGUAGGUGGCAAGCGUUGUCCGGAAUUAUUGGGCGUAAAGGGCUCGCAGGCGGUUUCUUAAGUCUGAUGUGAAAGCCCCCGGCUCAACCGGGGAGGGUCAUUGGAAACUGGGAAACUUGAGUGCAGAAGAAGAGAGUGGAAUUCCACGUGUAGCGGUGAAAUGCGUAGAGAU